CACAGCAGCUGCCGGAGACGUGACCUGAGCCCAGCUCGGGUGGCCCGGGCGCUCCUGGCUGCUCCCAUUGGCGCUGAUGAGUUUCCCUUCUCCUGCUGAUGGAUGGGGAGGAUCAGAGCAUUCCCGGCUUUCUCCGGGGUUUUCAGAGGGAAAAUGGGUUCCACACCUGCCAGAGCAUCCCCGGCAGCAGGUGAGGAAUGCUGGGGCUCAGGGCCACGAUGAACGAGGGGUGAGCAUUCAGCUUUUUGUUGUCUCUGGCAUUUUAAUGACUCUUCCUUUCCCUGUGGGAGGUCUCCCCGCUCCGAGGGAAUUUCUUUCCUGAUGUUUAUUCCUUUCCCUGUCCACAAACAGAGCUUGUGCCCACCCAGACCCGAGGCAGAACCACUGCUUUUGGCCGGGAUGUGGAAGUUUGCAGAGCCGGGAUAACGCUGAAAUUUAUUUUAAUGUAAUAAACGAAUUAAUACAAAUUUCGCAGCCUGCAAACAGACAGAGCUGUGACCGAGCACCAAGCUGAGCUUGGAGCAGGUUUCUCUGACACGGAGCCAAAUUCCUGGCUGGAUUUCGGGCUGGUUUUAGUGGACACGCAGCGGGACAAGCCCGGUUUGGGAUUUCCAGGGGAAUUUCGGUGGAUUUCCCCAGCGGAGAGAGCGGCGGGCGCUGCCACAAUGGGGGAUCCUUAUCAGCGGAUUCCAGCGGGCUCCCUCCGCGUCCCUUGGCAUUUCCAUGAAAAUGGGAAAGGCUUCCUGAGGAAAAAAACAUCCCCCAGCCUCCCUCCCUCCCACAGCAGCACAGAAUCCUCUGGAUUCUGCGAGGAAUUUAUCCGCUGGAAACAGAAACUCCGCGGGGCCUUUGCACAACGCGGGGAAUCCUCGGGAAAAGCAUCCCGAGAAACCCACCAGGACCCCAAACACGGGGCCGGAGAGAUCCUGUUAAAAACGGGACUAGACUCCUGGUACUAAAAGUGAUUUCAGCGUUUAUUUAAUUAUUUUAUUUAUUAAAAGUAAUUUCAGCAUUUAUUUAUUUAUUUUAUUUAUUAAAAGUGGUUUCAGCAUUUAUUUAUUUAUUUAUUGUAUUUAUUAAAAGUGAUUUCAACAUUUAUUCUAAUAAAAAGGAAGGCCCAAAGCAAGGGGUGCUAAAAGUG